rnacentral:rRNA from 1 species
CAGCAGCCGCGGUAAUACGAAGGGGGCUAGCGUUGCUCGGAAUCACUGGGCGUAAAGGGUGCGUAGGCGGGUCUUUAAGUCAGGGGUGAAAUCCUGGAGCUCAACUCCAGAACUGCCUUUGAUACUGAAGAUCUUGAGUUCGGGAGAGGUGAGUGGAACUGCGAGUGUAGAGGUGAAAUUCGUAGAUAUUCGCAAGAACACCAGUGGCGAAGGCGGCUCACUGGCCCGAUACUGACGCUGAGGCACGAAAGCGUGGGGAGCAAACAGGAUUAGAUACCCGUGUAGUCCCUGUCUCUUAUAC